GACGAACGCUGGCGGCGUGCUUAACACAUGCAAGUCGAACGGAAAGGCCCUGCUUGCAGGGUACUCGAGUGGCGAACGGGUGAGUAACACGUGGGUGAUCUGCCCUGCACUUCGGGAUAAGCUUGGGAAACUGGGUCUAAUACCGGAUAGGAGCCAUCUUUAGUGUGGUGGUUGGAAAGUUUUUUCGGUGUAGGAUGAGCUCGCGGCCUAUCAGCUUGUUGGUGGGGUAAUGGCCUACCGAGGCGGCGACGGGUAGCCGGCCUGAGAGGGUGUACGGCCACAUUGGGACUGAGAUACGGCCCAGACUCCUACGGGAGGCAGCAGUGGGGAAUAUUGCACAAUGGGCGCAAGCCUGAUGCAGCGACGCCGCGUGGGGGAUGAAGGCCUUCGGGUUGUAAACUCCUUUCGCUAGGGACGAAGCUUUUUUGUGACGGUACCUAGAGAAGAAGCACCGGCUAACUACGUG
rnacentral:rRNA from 1 species